AGGAGUUUUCCUGGUCCUGCUUGCAGACAAGGGGUUCUGUGGGGAAGCAUGUGAUCUUGGUCUAGCAGCAGAGAGUCUGUAAAGAGUCAGCUUAGAGCAAGAUGGGCUUCAGCCUUGACCCCAGAAAUUGACAAGAAUGACAGCCAACAGCCAAUUGUGAUGCUGCAUGUGUGAAAAAGUAGGAACACGUACAGCUGAAGCAUCAGCACUGGAUAGUCCUAGCCAUCUCAGACACAUCACAUCUGAGAGUUUACCACCUAUGAUAGCAUCAGACCACGACUUAGAAGGCAA